rnacentral:lncRNA from 1 species
CUUUUCAGUUCUGUCUUCCUGAGGCUGCUGUUUCUGGGCAUGGCCAGGGGAUCUUCAGACUUUACAAACCAGUUGUGCAGAGCCAGGCAUUUCAAUAAGGAACAAAAUGCUGAGUAACAACAUGAAGUCAGAGUGUUGCUUGCCAAGAGCUGGGAGGCCUGGGUGGUUUCCCAAUCUUAAAGAAGCAGAAGGAUAUUAAAGUGAGCCUCCCAAAGGAAAACGUGGAUCUACUUACCAACGCAGAAAAUGAUACACACGGAUUCGAUUUAGGCACGCUACAUUCAAAUGACUUGGAAGAGCAGGUUCUCUGAGCCAGGAUACUAAAGUCCCUGUUUAGGAAAGAGCCACGUUGUAUGUUUACCCUACCACAAAGAUACAGAAUUCUGGAGGAAAGUGGCUCUGGGAAUUGAACAGUGGCUCAGUGAUGUUGGGGCCACCAAGUCUGCAAUUCUCCCUACCUGUUCUUCAUGGUUGUAAGAUGACUGCUGCAAUUCUCGGCAUCAUGUGCAUGUUAAUGUCAGGAGGAAGAAAGGAAGAGGGAGCACUGGGAUGUUACAUUCAUUUUGUCAGGAAAAGCAAAGCCUUUCCAGACAGCUCCGAAACUUGCUUACCUCUCAUUGGCCAGCACCAUCACUUGACCACUUGUCCACUCCUAGCUGCAAGGAAAGUGGCAAAGUAGAAGGUAUUUGAGAAUGUCUGCUGGGUUAGCCAAAACAAUAGUGACUUCUACACCCAAUUUUCUGGGCACUGCAGAAGUAUCCUUGAGUCCUAUGUGAUCAGAGGGAGAGCAAACCUCAAUAAUGAAACAGAUUCAAUUUCCAUCACCCAGUGAGACACCAUGGGAUUAGAAUAAAUUUUUAAAAAAACAAAUUGAAAAAAAUGCAUUUUUAAAACAACAAAAUCAGAAAGGAUGAAAGGUGAUAUUUCUAGCAUAUCAGUUUGUGGUGGUAAAUUAAUUACCUUAUACAAAGGCCUCAGUGACUUUCUUCUCCUUACCUAACGAAUCAUCUUUAAAAUAAGUAAAAUAAAGAAACAAGAGCAGCAGCAGAUGCUUCCUAAAAAGAAGUUACCAAAUCUGUUCACCACAAACCUGAGAAUUCAACUGUGGACAUUUGGACACCAGCAAUGAACAUGAAACUCAGCUUAUGAGGCAUAUUUGGCUAAAGGUCAAGGUGACUUAAAGUUCAUCAUAGGACAUCUACAAUUUGCAAAGCAGGUGACUGGAUAUGGACUCCUUCCAAGUCUCAUUUAAUUGGAUAAUGCCUACGUUUUAAGUAUCAGAAGUGAGUCUUUCUCUAUUAAAUGAAGUCAGUUCCACUAAAACCUAAAUCUUGUUUGGCAGGCACUCCAUGUUUCUUAAUUUUUAUUCCAUGCUGUAUAUUCUUUUAGACUUGAUUUUCACUUUUUUUUCUUUUUUCCUGUACAUUUAUCUUUGCUGUGAAACAAAGUGCCCUGCUUUGAAGGACAGGUUUGUGGGCUGCUGGUGGUGAGACAACAGCAGUCCUUCCAAGUCUUCCUCCCAUCACUCUGUUAGCUCUCCCUUUGUUUUUAAUUAGCAUUACACCAGUUAAUUCUGUUAUCUCUUAACCCUGGUUCUGCAUCCUCUUCUUCUUUUCUAUUCCUUACUCCGCUCCUGUUUUUUCUUGUUCUGCUUUUCCAAGAAAUGUCUUGUCUCCUCAUCAGUUGACUGUCUUCUCUUUCCAGAGGGACCAUAAAGGUGCCAGCCUAAGGAACACGUAAAACGUGGGAACAGACAAACAAGCUGCUGCCUAUUACAGAGAUAGAUAAUUAACUUUGGACCAUUACAUGCAAUUCAUCAGCUUAUCUUUUUCAAACUUUAUAUAAGAAGUCAUUUCCCAAUGGUAACCACUUGCCAGCUGCAACUUUGACGCAUAUUAUCAGGAUAGGUGAGAUUGAUGGGGGCCCUUUGAACUCUUCCCAGGGAAUUAUCUUUAUAAUGUUACAGUUUUCUCUAUAGCAUGGUCAUAUUGUUAACAUUGGUUAUAAGGUCAUAUGGUUAGUAUGGUUAGUAUUGGUGGCUCACAGCUGUAAUACCAGCACUUUGGGAGGCCAAGGUGGGAGGAUCACUUGAGCCCUGGUGUUCAAAACCAGCUCUGGAAACAUAGCAAGACCUUGUCUCUACAAAAAAAAAUUAAAUAAAUUAAAAGAUUAGCUGGGCAUGGUGGCACAUGCCUGUAGUCCUCACUACUUGGGAAACUAAGGUGGGAGGAUCCUUUGAGCUUGGGAGGUUGAGGCUGCAGUGAGCUGUGGUUGUGCCAUGGCACUCCAGCCUGGGUGACAGAGUGAGAGCCUGUCUCAAAAAAAAAAAAAAAAAAAAAAAAAAGUACCUGUAAGGUCUUUGGGAUUUUGAAGAUGAAAGGUGUUGCAUAAAUUGAAUGAAUUCACUUAGAGAGAUAGAAGGCAACUACAGGGAAUAUUACGUACAUCAUGGAGCGGAAAGCACUAAGGCCUGUGGAAUUAUUCUCAGUGACACGUCGUUGAGGGCAGUGGUCCACAUGUUUUGAACAUGGUUUCUCCCAGGUGAAAAGGAUGAGUAAUUUGUUCUCCUUCACAUGUGUGUAUGUAGGUCUUAUACACAGCAGAUUUGCCACAAAACAAAUGAAGAUUACACUUUGGGCCCCUCUCUCACAUGAGCCCCUUCCAAAGUUCUGUUUGCUAAUUUUACAUUUUGUAAUUUCUUAUUAUUUUUCUUAAAGAAGCCUCCUCCAAUUGCAUAAACUUCAAGCCUCACAAAAUUUGGAUCCAUACCUGAGCCAACAUACAAUACAAUUUUCCAUUUCUAACUUUUAGUUGUACCUAGUGUUUUAUUGGAAAUGAUCAAGUACAUGAGUGGUGUCUUUUUAAAAAAUUUACUUUAUUUGCUUCUCUAGCUUCAUCGUUAGUUAGGCAGUUAAAUCUAACCAUUUGGAGGUAUUUUCAUAUAACCUCCAUUGAGGACAAUUUGGCAAUAGCUUUUAAAAUUAUAAAUAUAUUUGUACAGUUAUAAGCUGCCAUAUCUAUAAAACUAUUUGAUAGACAAAAGUUGAAAACCCUCCAAGAGCUCAUCAAUAAAAGAUUAAAUUAAUUAUGAUACAUCCAUAUGAGCACUGAGCAGCUGUGAAAAAAAUGAGGAAGUAAUUCCUGUGCUGAUAUGGGAAGACUUCCAAGACAUGUUGUUAAGUACAGAAUGGUGUAUACAGUAUGCUAUAUAGUGUGGUAAAAGGUUUAGGGAUAAGCAUUUAUAUUUAUAACUGUUUAUAUUUACAUAAAGUAAUUCUGAAAGGAUACAAAAAAGCUAACAAAAGAGAUUACCUGUGGUAGUGUGGGGCUUGGGGAUUGGAUGGGUGAGAAACAGUAGUGGAAAUGAGAUAUUGUACAGUUUAAGGCAUUAUACACCUAUAAAAACAUGGGAAUGUAUUACCUACUCAAAAAGUGAAAUUAAGAGAGAUACAAGAAACUGUUUGGAUGUUCCUUCCCGUUUCAAUGUAUCUAUAUUUUUUCAGCCCUCAAAGUUAUUAUAAAUGUCAUUAUAAUAACUUCAUAAAGCUUCCCCUAUAAUGAGAAUCUUACCAUUCUCCUAACUCCAAUAGCACUGUAAUCCACCUCUGUUAGGACACAUCACUCUUCAUCAUGUGUGAUUAUUAUUUGCAGAUAUCAUCUUCAAGGCUCUUCUCUAUUUACCACCUGCCAUUCUUGUUCUCACCUCUACAUGACCUUCACAUUUUAUUUCUCUCGGUUUUUUGGACAAGCUACAUUCCCUUCCACAGAGAAGGCUUCCCUGACCCCUUUCACUUGGUUGGAUUACCUUGCUAUUCUUUUCUAUCUUUGUACAUUCCUUUUCAAAAUACUUAUCUCCCUUGUUGUUACCUAUAAUGUCUGUCUUCUUUACUCAAGAGUCUAGACAAAAAGCUCCACGCCAGCCUCGGCUGUGUUUGUAUUGUUUACGUCUGUGUUCCUAGUGCUUAAUAAAAUACCUAGCAAGGGUUAAUAAGUACUUGUUGACUGGAAGGGAAUGACUUCCUUCCCUUACUAGAGAGUGAUUUCCUUACAGGCGAGAUGUGUCAACCUUCUAUAGCCCACAUAAAAUAAAGGACAAUAUCUCCUAUUGGAUAAAAGACAAAAAAAAAAAAAAAA